rnacentral:rRNA from 1 species
GAUGAACGCUGGCGGCGUGCCUAAUACAUGCAAGUCGAGCGAACAGACGAGGAGCUUGCUCCUCUGACGUUAGCGGCGGACGGGUGAGUAACACGUGGAUAACCUACCUAUAAGACUGGGAUAACUUCGGGAAACCGGAGCUAAUACCGUAUAAUAUAUUGCACCGCAUGGUUCAAUAGUGAAAGACGGUUUUGCUGUCACUUAUAGAUGGAUCCGCGCCGCAUUAGCUAGUUGGUAAGGUAACGGCUUACCAAGGCAACGAUGCGUAGCCGACCUGAGAGGGUGAUCGGCGACACGGGAGCGGAGCCGGGCACCAUGCGCCUACGGGAGGCCGCAGUAGGGAACCGGACGCAAUAGGCGAGAGUUUGGCGGAGCAACGGCGCGUGAGUGAUAAAGAUCUUCGGAGCGUAAAACUCGGUUAUGAGUGAAGAACAAAUGUGGCAGGAAAUAUGCACGUCUUGACGGUACCGAAUCAGAAAGCAACGGCUAACUACGUG